UGUGCUCGAGAGGGAAACAGCCCGGACCGCCCGCUAAGGUCCCCAAGUUCCAGCCGAGUGGCAAAGGAUGUGCGUCCGCCCAGACAACCAGGAUGUUGGCUUAGAAGCAGCCAUCCAUUCAAAGAGUGCGUAACAGCUCACUGGUCGAGUGGACAUGCGCCGACAAUACACGGGGCUAAGCUGGACACCGAAGCGGCGGGAUUUUAAUUCAUUAGAAUCGGUAGGGGAGCUUCCCAUGGGCGGAGAAGCCGGAGGGCGACCGACGGUGGAGCGCAUGGGAGUGAGAAUGCUGGCAUGAGUAGCGAGAGACGAGAGAGUAACUCGUCCGCCGUGAACCCGAGGUUUCCUGGGCAAGGCUAAUCCUCCCAGGGUCAGUCGGGGGCUAAGGCGAGGCCGGGAGGCGUAGCCGACGCGCAGCAGGCAGACAUUCCUGCACCGCGCACGCGGCGCUACGACCGACGGGGCGACGGAUGGGGGUGGCUCGGCGGGGUUCUGGACGUCCCCGUGAUGGAGCGCGGCCCGCGGACCAGGGAAAUCCGGUCCGCAGAAGGGCGAGGCUCCGGACGAAGCGAUUGAGCGAAGCGAGUGAGCCCGAGGUCCCUAGAAAAACCCCUAGGCAGGCGCGUGCGCGCCCGUACCGCAAACCGACACAGGUGGGUGGGUAGAACAUACCGAGGCGAUCGGGUCAACCAUGGUCAAGGAACUCGGCACAAUGGCCCCGUAACUUCGGGAGAAGGGGUGCCCGCGCGUACGUGAACCGGCUUGCCCGGGGAGCGGAGGCGGGCCGCAGUGGAGAGGCCCAAGCGACUGUUUACCAAAAACACAGGACUCUGCAGAAGCCGCAAGGCGACGUAUAGGGUCUGACGCCUGCCCGGUGCCGGAAGGUCACGCGGAGGAGUUAGCCGAUUCGGCGAAGCCCCGAAGCCAAGCCCCGGUAAACGGCGGCCGUAACUAUAACGGUCCUAAGGUAGCGAAAUUCCUUGUCGGGUAAGUUCCGACCUGCACGAAAGGCGCAACGACUUGGGCGCUGUCUCGACCAUGGACCCGGUGAAAUUGCACUGGUCGUGAAGAUGCGACUUACCCGCGGAAGGACGGAAAGACCCCGUGAACCUUCACUGCAGCUUGGCAUUGGCCGCUGGUCCCGCGUGUAGAGGAUAGGCAGGAGGCAUCGAUCCGGAGGCGCCAGCCCCCGGGGAGCCGCCCUUGGAAUACUGCCCUCGCGCGACCGGCGUCCUAACCCGAGGCCGUCAACCGGCUCGGGGACCGUGCCAGGCGGGCAGUUUGACUGGGGCGGUCGCCUCCUAAAGGGUAACGGAGGCGCGCGAAGGUCCGCUCGGGACGGUCGGCAACCGUCCUUUUGAAUGCAAGAGUACAAGCGGGCUUGACUGCGAGGCCCACAAGCCGAGCAGGUGCGAAAGCAGGCUCUAGUGAUCCGGCGGCCCCGAGUGGGUGGGCCGUCGCUCAACGGAUAAAAGGUACUCCGGGGAUAACAGGCUGAUCUUGCCCAAGAGUCCACAUCGACGGCAAGGUUUGGCACCUCGAUGUCGGCUCAUCGCAUCCUGGGGCUGGAGCAGGUCCCAAGGGUACGGCUGUUCGCCGUUUAAAGCGGUACGCGAGCUGGGUUCAGAACGUCGUGAGACAGUUCGGUCCCUAUCCUCCGUGGGCGCAGGAGAAUCGAUGGAGGCUGCCCCCAGUACGAGAGGACCGGGGUGGACGCACCUCCGGUGAACCGGUUGUCGACCAACGGCACGGCCGGGUAGCCGCGUGCGGCGCGGAUAACCGCUGAAGGCAUCUAAGCGGGAAGCCGUUCCAGGGAUUAGUUCUCCUUCCGGUAAGGGCCCAGGUAGACUACCUGGUCGAUAGACGGCAGGUGCAAGGGCGGCGACGUCCUCAGCCGAGCCGCACUAAUCGCCCGAGCUCUUCCGGA
rnacentral:rRNA from 1 species